UACGGAGGAUCCGAGCGUUAUCCGGAUUUAUUGGGUUUAAAGGGUGCGUAGGCGGCCUGUUAAGUCAGGGGUGGAAGACGGUAGCUCAACUAUCGCAGUGCCCUUGAUACUGAUGGGCUUGAAUGUACUAGAGGUAGGCGGAAUGUGACAAGUAGCGGUGAAAUGCAUAGAUAUGUCACAGAACACCAAUUGCGAAGGCAGCUUACUAUGGUAUUAUUGACGCUGAGGCACGAAAGCGUGGGGAUCAAACAGG
rnacentral:rRNA from 1 species